rnacentral:misc_RNA from 1 species
CAAUUAUCAUUACAAGCUACUGUGAGGUCCACCUGCCAGACGUUGUUCAAGCUUAAAAGCCGUCUGUCAAGUGGAUCAUUGCGAGCGCGAAUGUGAGAGAGUGGGCGGAUGUGUACCGUGUUUCGAGCUUUUUUAGUCGCGAAGGACCCGGAAGGGAAUGAGAGAGGAAGGGAAUGAGAGGGGGAGGGAUGGGAAACACACACAAAUGGAUUUAAUUGGUAUAUUUUGGUUGGAUUGGGUGGAUUUGGGUGGGUGUGUGACAACCUGUGAUGGUCAGACCAUGCCUGAGCUGUUGAUAGGGGAUGGCAUGUAGAGUGAAAAAUGAAAAAUGAAAAU